rnacentral:rRNA from 1 species
UGGGGAAUUUUGGACAAUGGGCGAAAGCCUGAUCCAGCCAUGCCGCGUGCAGGAUGAAGGCCUUCGGGUUGUAAACUGCUUUUGUACGGAACGAAAAGACUCUGGUUAAUACCUGGGGUCCAUGACGGUACCGUAAGAAUAAGCACCGGCUAACUACGUGCCAGCAGCCGCGGUAAUACGUAGGGUGCAAGCGUUAAUCGGAAUUACUGGGCGUAAAGCGUGCGCAGGCGGUUAUAUAAGACAGAUGUGAAAUCCCCGGGCUCAACCUGGGAACUGCAUUUGUGACUGUAUAGCUAGAGUACGGCAGAGGGGGAUGGAAUUCCGCGUGUAGCAGUGAAAUGCGUAGAUAUGCGGAGGAACACCGAUGGCGAAGGCAAUCCCUGGGCCUGUACUGACGCUCAUGCACGAAAGCGUGGGGAGCAAACAGGAUUAGAUACCCUGGUAGUCCACGCCCUAAACGAUGUCAACUGGUUGUUGGGUCUUCACUGACUCAGUAACGAAGCUAACGCGUGAAGUUGACCGCCUGGGGAGUACGGCCGCAAGGUUGAAACUCAAA